GAUGAACGCUGGCGGCGUGCCUAAUACACGCAAGUCGAGCGAAUGGAUUAAGAGCUUGCUCUUAUGAAGUUAGCGGCGGACGGGCGAGUAACACGUGGGUAACCUGCCCAUAAGACUGGGAUAACUCCGGGAAACCGGGGCUAAUACCGGAUAACAUUUUGAACCGCAUGGUUCGAAAUUGAAGGGCGGCUUCGGCUGUCACUUAUGGAUGGACCCGCGUCGCAUUAGCUAGUUGGUGAGGUAACGGCUCACCAAGGCAACGAUGCGUAGCCGACCUGAGAGGGUGAUCGGCCACACUGGGACUGAGACACGGCCCAGACUCCUACGGGAGGCAGCAGUAGGGAAUCUUCCGCAAUGGACGAAAGUCUGACGGAGCAACGCCGCGUGAGUGAUGAAGGCUUUCGGGUCGUAAAACUCUGUUGUUAGGGAAGAACAAGUGCUAGUUGAAUAAGCUGGCACCUUGACGGUACCUAACCAGAAAGCCACGGCUAACUACGUGCCAGCAGCCGCCGCCG
rnacentral:rRNA from 1 species